UACGGAGGGGGCUAGCGUUGUUCGGAAUUACUGGGCGUAAAGCGCGCGUAGGCGGCUUUGUAAGUUAGAGGUGAAAGCCCGGAGCUCAACUCCGGAAUUGCCUUUAAGACUGCAUCGCUAGAAUCAUGGAGAGGUGAGUGGAAAUUCCGAGUGUAGAGGUGAAAUUCGUAGAUAUUCGGAAGAACACCAGUGGCGAAGGCGACUCACUGGACAUGUAUUGACGCUGAGGUGCGAAAGCGUGGGAGCAACAGG
rnacentral:rRNA from 1 species